GACGAACGCUGGCGGCGUGCUUAACACAUGCAAGUCGAACGGUAAGGCUCCAGCUUGCUGGGGUACACGAGUGGCGAACGGGUGAGUAACACGUGGGUGACCUGCCCUGCACUUCGGGAUAAGCCUGGGAAACUGGGUCUAAUGCCGGAUAGGACCGCACCGUGGGGGUGUGGUGGAAAGUUUUUUCGGUGUGGGUUGGGCCCGCGGCCUAUCAGCUUGUUGGUGGGGUAAUGGCCUACCAAGGCGGCGACGGGUAGCCGGCCUGAGAGGGUGGACGGCCACAUUGGGACUGAGACACGGCCCAGACUCCUACGGGAGGCAGCAGUGGGGAAUAUUGCACAAUGGGCGGAAGCCUGAUGCAGCGACGCCGCGUGGGGGAUGACGGCCUUCGGGUUGUAAACUCCUUUCACCAUCGACGAAGGGUUUCUGACGGUAGAUGGAGAAGAAGCACCGGCUAACUACGUG
rnacentral:rRNA from 1 species